CUCACCAAGGCGACGAUCCAUAGCUGGUCUGAGAGGAUGAUCAGCCACACUGGGACUGAGACACGGCCCAGACUCCUACGGGAGGCAGCAGUGGGGAAUAUUGGACAAUGGGCGCAAGCCUGAUCCAGCCAUGCCGCGUGAGUGAUGAAGGCCCUAGGGUUGUAAAGCUCUUUCACCGGUGAAGAUAAUGACGGUAACCGGAGAAGAAGCCCCGGCUAACUUCGUGCCAGCAGCCGCGGUAAUACGAAGGGGGCUAGCGUUGUUCGGAAUUACUGGGCGUAAAGCGCACGUAGGCGGGUAUUUAAGUCAGGGGUGAAAUCCCAGAGCUCAACUCUGGAACUGCCUUUGAUACUGGGUACCUAGAGUAUGGAAGAGGUGAGUGGAAUUCCGAGUGUAGAGGUGAAAUUCGUAGAUAUUCGGAGGAACACCAGUGGCGAAGGCGGCUCACUGGUCCAUUACUGACGCUGAGGUGCGAAAGCG
rnacentral:rRNA from 1 species